GACGAACGCUGGCGGCGUGCUUAACACAUGCAAGUCGAACGGAAAGGCCCUGCUUUUGUGGGGUGCUCGAGUGGCGAACGGGUGAGUAACACGUGAGUAACCUGCCCUUGACUUUGGGAUAACUUCAGGAAACUGGGGCUAAUACCGGAUAGGAGCUCCUGCUGCAUGGUGGGGGUUGGAAAGUUUCGGCGGUUGGGGACGGACUCGCGGCUUAUCAGCUUGUUGGUGGGGUAGUGGCUUACCAAGGCUUUGACGGGUAGCCGGCCUGAGAGGGUGACCGGCCACAUUGGGACUGAGAUACGGCCCAGACUCCUACGGGAGGCAGCAGUGGGGAAUAUUGCACAAGGGGCGGAAGCCUGAUGCAGCAACGCCGCGUGCGGGAUGACGGCCUUCGGGUUGUAAACCGCUUUCGCCUGUGACGAAGCGUGAGUGACGGUAAUGGGUAAAGAAGCACCGGCUAACUACGUG
rnacentral:rRNA from 1 species